UACGGGGGGAGCAAGCGUUGUUCGGAUUUACUGGGCGUAAAGGGCGCGUAGGCGGUCAGCACAAGUCAGUUGUGAAAUCUCCGGGCUUAACUCGGAAAGGUCAACUGAUACUGUGCGACUAGAGUGCAGAAGGGGCAACUGGAAUUCUCGGUGUAGCGGUGAAAUGCGUAGAUAUCGAGAGGAACACCUGCGGCGAAGGCGGGUUGCUGGGCUGACACUGACACUGAGAGACGAAAGCUAGGGGAGCGAAUGGG
rnacentral:rRNA from 1 species